CAGUCGCCGCGGUAAAACGGAGGGAGCUAGCGUUGUUCGGAAUUACUGGGCGCAAAGCGCACGUAGGCGGUUACUCAAGUCAGAGGUGAAAGCCCGGGGCUCAACCCCGGAACUGCCUUUGAAACUAGGUGGCUAGAAUCUUGGAGAGGUCAGUGGAAUUCCGAGUGUAGAGGUGAAAUUCGUAGAUAUUCGGAAGAACACCAGUGGCGAAGGCGACUGACUGGACAAGUAUUGACGCUGAGGUGCGAAAGCGUGGAGAGCAAACAGGAUUAGAUACCCCCGUAGUCCCUGUCUCUUAUAA
rnacentral:rRNA from 1 species